UUUUUGUGUGCAGCGAACGUGACAAAACGAGCUUUCCGGUGAACUUUCCCAUCGGAGCUUGAAUCAAUUUUUCAUCGGAGUUUUGCGACUUCGACGAAAAUCGAGUAUUUUAUCUGGUAUUUAACAAAUGUUUUCUCAAGGGUUUUUUGGUUAUGUGGGAUUAGAGGAAUGCUACUCCAGAAUCUCUAAUUUUCCUCCCAAAAUCCUCUUCUUUACUUUUGUUCUUCAAUGGGUAUUUAUAGGAGAUUUGGGACUGAUUUUGGAGUGAAGUAGAGGGGUAUUUGAGGAAUAUCGAAAAGGAUUUUUGAAAUUUGAAACUGGGGAUAAGGUUGGUACGAAAUGGUUUGUUGUUGCUAAGUUGUUGCUGCAGCUGACCGUUGUUUUUACGUUGUUGUCAUUGUUACGUUAUCGAUAGAGGAGAAAAGGAAUAGGUUUAAGGGUUGGUUG
rnacentral:lncRNA from 1 species